rnacentral:rRNA from 1 species
UACAGAGGUCUCAAGCGUUGUUCGGAUUCAUUGGGCGUAAAGGGUGCGUAGGCGGCGCUGUAAGUCGGGUGUGAAAUUUCGGAGCUUAACUCCGAAACUGCAUUCGAUACUGCGGUGCUUGAGGACUGGAGAGGAGACUGGAAUUCAUGGUGUAGCAGUGAAAUGCGUAGAGAUCAUGAGGAAGACCAGUGGCGAAGGCGGGUCUCUGGACAGUUCCUGACACUGAGGCGCGAAGGCCAGGGGAGCAAACGGG